CCUACGGGAGGCAGCAGUAAGGAAUAUUGGUCAAUGGACGCAAGUCUGAACCAGCCAUGCCGCGUGAAGGAUUAAGGUCCUCUGGAUUGUAAACUUCUUUUAUCUGGGACGAAAAAAGGCGAUUCUUCGUCACUUGACGGUACCAGAUGAAUAAGCACCGGCUAACUCCGUGCCAGCAGCCGCGGUAAUACGGAGGGUGCAAGCGUUAUCCGGAUUCACUGGGUUUAAAGGGUGCGUAGGCGGGCAGGUAAGUCAGUGGUGAAAUCCUAGAGCUUAACUCUAGAACUGCCAUUGAUACUAUCUGUCUUGAAUAUUGUGGAGGUAAGCGGAAUAUGUCAUGUAGCGGUGAAAUGCUUAGAUAUGACAUAGAACACCUAUUGCGAAGGCAGCUUACUACGCAUAUAUUGACGCUGAGGCACGAAAGCGUGGGGAUCAAACAGGAUUAGAUACCCUGGUAGUCCACGCCCUAAACGAUGAUUACUCGACAUUUGUGAUACACUAUAAGUGUCUGAGCGAAAGCAUUAAGUAAUCCACUUGGGAAGUACGACCGCAAGGUUGAAACUCAAAGGAAUUGA
rnacentral:rRNA from 1 species